AUAUGCAAAGCAUGCAUCAGCCACAUCCAUGCUAUCUCCUAAAGCAGUCAUUCUGAAACCCAAUCUGGGGACAGUGCAGACUAAAUAAAAUUUCAUUUUGAUUUGGCCUCCCGCUGCGAAUGGGACUGCUUUGUCUCAGCCGACAGAACCAGCAAGCCAGAAAGAUUGAAGAACAAAAUGAAAGUUAGUUAAAGAAGACGUUGAAGAAACAAUAGUGUGAAAACAGCACGAAAUGUCAUUUGGUAAAUAUGCCACAGCCUCACAUAAGGAAGAGGAAAAUGGCAGUGUGGGCCAUGAUUGGCAGGUCUGGAUCCAUAGACUGUGAUUUCCAGGAUCACCCAACAGGAAUGAAGACAUUUGGAGAAGAAGCGUUUACUGAAAGGAGAUUCCUGGGCUGGAGGAAAACCAUGAUCUACAGUUCAUGUUGACAGAUAUUGUAUUUUUGGUCCUAGAUCUGACUUUUGAAAUGACUUAUCACAAAUUCAAAUUUAGCAAUCAUGAGUGAAGUACCCACGAUGUGCUAAGCAUCUACCUCUGCAGAUAGAAGAACACUUACUGUUCCUGAGCAUGGGAGGGAAUAGAAG
rnacentral:lncRNA from 1 species